GUUCUUUGUUUUAUUUCAGCCGAUACGGCGAGAGAGUUGGAGUGUUUGGGCGAGUACAGAGGAAAGAAGGCAGAGGAUAUUGUUGGCUGGGCAAAGACGGAGACAAGGGUUUGGCAGAAACAGACACCGGGCUGAGUAUAUUGGAAUGUCUACGUAACUGUGAAAUGCUCCAUGGACAUGUGUAACAAAUUCUGAGUGGUUGAAAACAGGAAGACUCACCGGAAGUAUCGCCGAAGGAGGCCUUUUCGACAGGGCACGUGGCAGCAGGAGAAGUAUCCAGGAGCUGGAAAGAAGAGGGAAAAGAGACCUCGUGUAGUAACGGUGUGAGUACCCUAAACCAUCGUACAGCAGUAUAAUCAUCUAGAGUGAACCAUCUGUGAGCGUUUUGUGAGUUUGUGGCAUAGUAUGUGAGCGGCCCCACCGUGGAGGAGGAUUGUGGGUGAGCCGGGACCAGUGAGCGAGAGAGGAUGUUGGGCUGUUGUGGCGGCAACGUUUAAAUCUGAAUAUUCGUGGCUUCACGACUUCCAGGAAGAGUCUUUGGUCAGACGGGGUGUUGACCCUAAAUUCACCAGAGUGUGUGGAGUGCAGUGGGCCCGACGAAAUCCUGUGAAGGAAGUGAAUACCGAGGCGGGCGAAGAAAACAUCUCCAAUUAUAUGCCGUCGAUGACAUCCUGACCCUUCUUCCCCACGUGACGGUGGUGGGAAACAAUUUCAAGUAAGAACAGUGUGGAUCUAUUGGGAAGUAUUAAUGGUGAGGAGUUGGCUGCUGUAGGAGGAAAUCAGCUGUGCGUGUAUUAUUACCUGCUGUGGAGUUCUUCAAAGGUUCGCCCCUGUCUAGAUCUCUUGACUUGUCGGUUGGUAGAAAGAAGAGGGAAGCGUUCGACCCAUCCAGUGUAGUACACCCCGGGUGAGACAACUUACCUGUGUGUGACGCCAGCGGAGGCCGUGUUCGGCCCAACGCAACAGUUUUCGAUCCGCCUCUCUAUCAGCAGUUGGUAGAAGCCUCAGAAAAGGAACGUCUGACGUCUAUUCCCUCGAAGGUCUGUGAGUUACAUCACUUCCUGUUUCCCUGUAUAUUCACCGUAAGCGUAUGCCCAAGUGAAGUCCCAGUUACAUUUGAUGUACUUACCCUAUGCCCAAAGCUAAAGCCAGCAUAUUGUGUUGUACACUCGCCUGUAUGCCCAGAGUGAAGUCCCAGUUAUAUUGGAUGUACUUACCUUAUGCCCAAAGCUAAAGCCAGCAUAUUGUGUUGUACACUCGCCUGUAUGCUCAAGUGAAACCCCAGUUGUCUUUCCUACGGACUUACUUGUGCCCCCGAGUGAAGAGCCAGCGGCCCCUCUGUCCACUAUCCGUGUCCAGUCCUGUUACACUUACCUUUAUGCUCUUGUGCAGAUCUAGCGGGUCCCUUUGAAGCGUCUACCUGCAUGUCGACUCGUCACUCAGGAUACAGAGACCGUGGAAACCCCCUC
ensembl:lncRNA